AACGUAGGAGGCAAGCGUUAUCCGGAGUUACUGGGCGUAAAGCGCGUGUAGGUGGAUCGGUAAGUUACUUAUAAAAGCUCCUGGCUAAACUAGGAGAGGUUGAGUGAUACUGCCAGUCUUGAACAGAGGAGAGGUUGACGGAAUUCCGCGUGUAGUGGUGAAAUGCGUAGAGAUGCGGAAGAACACCAGUGGCGAAGGCGGUCAACUGGCCUCAUAUUGACACUCAGACGCGAAGGCAUGGGUAGCGAACGGG
rnacentral:rRNA from 1 species